GUCAAUCUGUCCCUUCACUACACCUCUUAGACUCAAUUGAGAGGUGAGACAAUCUCUACAAAAUAUUAUAAAAAUGGCAAGAAACCAAAGCACACAUGUUUUUGAUCUGUCCUAAUUUUCAAACCAGAAAGUUCAGAGGAAAAGACUCCAAGAAAUUAUUAAUCACUACAACUUGAGAAAAAUAACAGUACUCUUUAAACGUUAUUGCUUCCAACGUGAACUUCUGC
rnacentral:lncRNA from 1 species